GUAGGGAAUCUUGCGCAAUGGGCGAAAGCCUGACGCAGCCAUGCCGCGUGAAUGAUGAAGGUCUUCGGAUUGUAAAAUUCUUUCACCGGGGACGAUAAUGACGGUACCCGGAGAAGAAGCCCCGGCUAACUUCGUGCCAGCAGCCGCGGUAAUACGAAGGGGGCUAGCGUUGCUCGGAAUUCCUGGGCGUAACGGGAGCGUAGGCGGAUAGUUUGGUCAGAGGUGGAAGCCCAGGGCGCAACCUUGGAAUUGCCUUUGAUACUGGCUAUCUUUAGUAUGGAAGAGGGAUGUGGAACACCGAGUGUAGAGGUGAAAUUCGUAGAUAUUCGGAAGAACGCCAGUGGCGAAGGCGACAUACUGGUCCAUUACUGACGCUGAGGCUCGAAAGCGUGGGGAGCAAACAGGAUUAGAAACCCAAGUAGUCC
rnacentral:rRNA from 1 species